rnacentral:rRNA from 1 species
GGAUUAGCGGCGGACGGGUGAGUAACACGUGAGUAACCUGCCUCGGACAUUGGGAUAGCCUCGGGAAACCGGGAUUAAUACCAAAUGAAAUCAAAGAUACACAUGUAUCAAUGAUCAAAACUCCGGUGGUCUGAGAUGGACUCGCGUCCCAUUAGCUAGUUGGUAAGGUAACGGCCUACCAAGGCGACGAUGGGUAGCCGGCCUGAGAGGGUGAACGGCCACAUUGGAACUGAGAAACGGUCCAAACUCC